rnacentral:tRNA from 1 species
AUUGGAGUGGCAGAGCCCGGAUGAUGCGGAAGGUCUAAGCCCUUUACACAGAGGUUCAAAUCCUCCCUCCAAUU